CUGUGACAAGCCAGUUCUAGCUGGAGACACAAAAAGGAUUCCUGGUGCAAUUUUGAAGGUGCAAACACACAAAUACCAUAAUCCAAUGCCCCUACCUGUUGCAUCACAAAGCAAGUCAUCACCUUGCAAGUGGUUCCACUGAGGCACAGCAGUGUGGACAAGUGUAGAAAUACAUUCUAAACAGUAGCAGCGCUCAGCAACGCUAAAAACGUUACCUACCUGAAACAUUAGGCUUAUCUUUCAUAGGAAAUCACACUGCUUGUUGCAUCUCACCACACACCUGGUAACGGGUGCGAACAUGCUGGUCACUUUCAACUGGGUCUGAAACCAGGUCUCAUUAGAUUUGAGAUACUUGUAUUUUCGCGAAGUGUGAGGUCUGUGUUGUCCCCUCUCAUGGACCAACAAACUAUUACUGAAAUCAAAAGCAACUUUUCUAAUGAAGGUAAGUGGGAGUGUCAAGACUUGUCCUUACAUAACCAGCCAUACUUAAAGCAGAGUAGACUGGGCACAGCUUUCUCAGAAAAGAACUAGGUGUGUUACAGUAGCUGCACUCACUGCCAGCUGGGGAACUGAGCUGAAAAAAAAAUCACACAGAACACUACUUUUCCAGGUUCAAAAAUACAGGAGUAGAUUUCUGUGAACCGUGUUUGCUUACUCCUACCAAGGUGCUCAGAAUCAAUCAGAACUGUGGAAUGAGACAUUUUUUUCCUUAAUGUACAUACAUAUCCAUUGCUUGGAAGCUGUACAAAUUCUUAUACAGAAGAAAUAUAAUAGAGCUGUCUUUAAUGUCUUUUUAGAGGAAAACUUCUGUUUCAAUGCACUGUAUGUCUGUAGACACUAGUCUAGUGGCUGGUGACCCUGCACACGGCAGGGGGGUUGAAACCAAAUGAUCAUUGUGGUCCUUUUCAACCCAGGACAUUCUGUGAUUCUAUGAAUUACAGCACUUUUAAAUUAAUAGUUUCACAUAAUUGUUUGCUCCAGUUUAGAAAAAUGUGAGAAUCAAUACAGACAGACUUUUCUAGACAAGCAGUAUUCAUCGGAUUCCAAAGAAAAAAUAGACUUGCAAAAUAACCUGUUAUUAAUUUUUAGAUUUUACUAUUCUGUCUUAAAAAUUUAUUAAAAAUUACUUAAAAAACAAAGUAAAACAGUGCAGUACAGCAAGCGUAGACCAGAAGCAACUCCGAAGUUAACAACACUGUAAUGGUGAUGUAACUAAUUAAAAUGCAUUAGAAAAUAAACUAUCCACUGAAAGUUUGGAUCACAAUUCCUCAUGAUCUGGCAUGUGGGGAAACUGGGAAGAUCUGAAAGAUUUUGCAGUUUUGUAGCAUUCCAAGCCUUAACCUGUUGCAAAUAAUGGGAAAAGUGUUAUGUCACAUUUACCACACUAGGUGGCAGCUACAAACUAUCUGCUGCUACAUCAGACCUCUUAAAACAUAUUAGAAGUCAGAUAACUUUACCUAAAUGUCACAGCUUUCUAUUAAGUGAUUUAUCAAUUUUAGGUGCUCCUUAUGACCCCUUUUUUUUUUCUCUUCACUUCCCUCUGCAGUGAGACAGAACUCAAGAGGAACUACUAAAAAAUUUAUCUGUAGGCAUAGCGUUUUUUUGUUCUUGUUUAGUUGAGGUUUUUUGGGGAGGAGGUAGAACUUUAGAAUUGUUUUGUUUUGUUUUUUUUUCUUUUUUCCUUUAAGCUCUGUUUCUAUGGAUAUGGCAUAUUUACAUUUCUACUUUUGAUUUGCCCAGAUGUAUAAUUUAGACAAAAAUCAACAAAAGCUUGUUGUACUGCGGUACAAUGUUUCAUUACAGAUGUUGUUUUUCUUUCCUGGGGUGGGGAGAAUUCAAUGGUCUUUAUUCAACUACAAUGAGUAAAUGACGUCUAAAUUCUCCAUUACCGAAGCAAACCAUCAGCAUAAUUAACAGAAGAUAUCUUCUGUCAUUUGACAGAAACAUGUCAGUUUACAGGGACAGGUAUGAUUUCACCACUAAAACCAGUCAAUUACAAAGCUUUUUAUCAUCCCUUUUUUUCAUUGAUAAUAAGAAAAACUCAUCAGGCUCAACAUAUAAAGUGAAUACCAUAAUGCAGCUAUUCUGGCCAUAUGUCACGAAAUUUUAAACCACAUUGAGAUCUGUGAAUUUGUGUUCAGUAAACUAAUAGCAGAGUGAGACUUUCAAACUGUAUUUGCUCGUCCCUAGUUAACUCCUACCGUGAAUAACACAAUUUCAAUCAGAAACAGAACACAACAGAAAUAGGUUGUUGGAUUUCAGGGAGAAAAAAAUUCUAAAUAUGGGAAAAUCAACUCAUGAGGCUAACACAGCAGCGUGCAGUUUCUUUUCAAUA